rnacentral:rRNA from 1 species
UACGUAGGGGGCAAGCGUUGUCCGGAUUUAUUGGGCGUAAAGAGCUCGUAGGCGGCUUAGUAAGUCGGGUGUGGAACCUCCAGGCUCAACCUGGAGACGCCACCCGAUACUGCUGUGGCUAGAGUCCGGUAGGGGAGCGUGGAAUUCCUGGUGUAGCGGUGAAAUGCGCAGAUAUCAGGAGGAACACCAGCGGCGAAGGCGGCGCUCUGGGCCGGUACUGACGCUGAGGAGCGAAAGCGUGGGGAGCAAACAGG